rnacentral:lncRNA from 1 species
AUGGCCCUCCUUCCUUAUAUCAAGGGCACUACAGAUAAAAUUAGCAAAAUCCUCCAUAAACACAAUAUCAAAACAGCCUUUUGCACCAACCAAAAAAUAGCCAAUAUCCUCAGAAACCCCAAGGAUAAAAUCCAGUUGGAAAACCAAGGGGUCUAUGAAAUACCCUGCAAAGUCUGCCCAGCCACGUACAUUGGACAAACAAACAGACGAAUAAAUGCACGUAUCGCAGAACACAAGAAUGCCGUCAAAAAAGAAGAAAAAACUUCCUCUCUUUUCCAACACAUGAAAGAAACAGGACACGAAAUUAAUUUUGCAGAUUCCAAAUUGCUCUUUAACAUGGAACAUCACCACAAGAGAAUAAUCAUGGAAGCCAUCGAGAUAGAGAAACACCCUCACAACAUGAACAAGCGUGACGACACAUCCCGCCUGUCAGACAUCUGGAAAUUAGCCCUCCCCACAAAAACCGACACCAGAUCCAGAGGCACACAGAACGCCAUCACCAAUCAACCACACCAGACCCAAACCCAGACCCUCUCCACAGAUAAAUUACAGACACCAUCCAGUAGCCAAACCAUGGUGGCACCUCCGGAUGCUGCACCCCCCUGCAAUCCCUACACAGAUCUGGCUGGCACAGGCCACAAAACCACAGCUCGCCCCUAUACACGAAGCCAAGCCAGAGCACAACUAAGUGCAGUACAGCCAUCUUCUCAGAAAAACUCUUCACAAAGUUCAAGAGGUCAAGACACGAAGGCUUUAGCAACUAAUCCACACCUAAUGACCCACCUAAGUGGUACUCAGGAUAUCACUCAAGAAAUCACUCAAGAUAUCCCUCAAGUAAUUAAGGAACAAAAGAAGAAAAGGCACACUAGCCUGGGAACUUCCUCUCUGCCCAGAACAUUGGAGGCUAUACACCACACCUCCUCAACAGUAUUUAUAGGAACUCAAACACUGAGAUCCUGCUCUGUUCCAGUAACAAGAAGCCGAAAGCACCAGCCUGAAGAUGACGAGUGA